GGCGGUGUGCCUAAUACAUGCAAGUCGUACGCACUGGCCCAACUGAUUGAUGGUGCUUGCACCUGAUUGACGAUGGAUCACCAGUGAGUGGCGGACGGGUGAGUAACACGUAGGUAACCUGCCCCGGAGCGGGGGAUAACAUUUGGAAACAGAUGCUAAUACCGCAUAACAACAAAAGCCACAUGGCUUUUGUUUGAAAGAUGGCUUUGGCUAUCACUCUGGGAUGGACCUGCGGUGCAUUAGCUAGUUGGUAAGGUAACGGCUUACCAAGGCGAUGAUGCAUAGCCGAGUUGAGAGACUGAUCGGCCACAAUGGAACUGAGACACGGUCCAUACUCCUACGGGAGGCAGCAGUAGGGAAUCUUCCACAAUGGGCGCAAGCCUGAUGGAGCAACACCGCGUGAGUGAAGAAGGGUUUCGGCUCGUAAAGCUCUGUUGUUGGAGAAGAACGUGCGUGAGAGUAACUGUUCACGCAGUGACGGUAUCCAACCAGAAAGUCACGGCUAACUACGUGCCAGCAGCCGCGGUAAUACGUAGGUGGCAAGCGUUAUCCGGAUUUAUUGGGCGUAAAGCGAGCGCAGGCGGUUGCUUAGGUCUGAUGUGAAAGCCUUCGGCUUAACCGAAGAAGUGCAUCGGAAACCGGGCGACUUGAGUGCAGAAGAGGACAGUGGAACUCCAUGUGUAGCGGUGGAAUGCGUAGAUAUAUGGAAGAACACCAGUGGCGAAGGCGGCUGUCUGGUCUGCAACUGACGCUGAGGCUCGAAAGCAUGGGUAGCGAACAGGAUUAGAUACCCUGGUAGUCCAUGCCGUAAACGAUGAGUGCUAGGUGUUGGAGGGUUUCCGCCCUUCAGUGCCGGAGCUAACGCAUUAAGCACUCCGCCUGGGGAGUACGACCGCAAGGUUGAAACUCAAAGGAAUUGACGGGGGCCCGCACAAGCGGUGGAGCAUGUGGUUUAAUUCGAAGCUACGCGAAGAACCUUACCAGGUCUUGACAUCUUGCGCUAACCUUAGAGAUAAGGCGUUCCCUUCGGGGACGCAAUGACAGGUGGUGCAUGGUCGUCGUCAGCUCGUGUCGUGAGAUGUUGGGUUAAGUCCCGCAACGAGCGCAACCCUUGUUACUAGUUGCCAGCAUUAAGUUGGGCACUCUAGUGAGACUGCCGGUGACAAACCGGAGGAAGGUGGGGACGACGUCAGAUCAUCAUGCCCCUUAUGACCUGGGCUACACACGUGCUACAAUGGACGGUACAACGAGUCGCAAGCUCGCGAGAGUAAGCUAAUCUCUUAAAGCCGUUCUCAGUUCGGACUGUAGGCUGCAACUCGCCUACACGAAGUCGGAAUCGCUAGUAAUCGCGGAUCAGCAUGCCGCGGUGAAUACGUUCCCGGGCCUUGUACACACCGCCCGUCACACCAUGGGAGUUUGUAACGCCCAAAGUCGG
rnacentral:rRNA from 1 species